GCGAAUGGCUCAUUAAAUCAGUUAUGGUUCCUUAGAUGGUGCACAGUUACUUGGAUAACUGUGGUAAUUCUAGAGCUAAUACAUGCAACUCGGUCCCGACCGGCGACGGAAGGGACGCUUUUAUUAGAUCAAAACCAAUCGGUCUUCGGGCCGUUUGCCUUGGUGACUCUGAAUAAAUUGUGGCAGAUCGCACGGCCCCCGAGCCGGCGACGCAUCUUUCAAAUGUCUGCCUUAUCAACUGUCGAUGGUAGGUUCUGCGCCUACCAUGGUUGUAACGGGUAACGGGGAAUCAGGGUUCGAUUCCGGAGAGGGAGCCUGAGAAACGGCUACCACAUCCAAGGAAGGCAGCAGGCGCGCAAAUUACCCACUCCCGGCACGGGGAGGUAGUGACGAAAAAUAACGAUACGGGACUCAUCCGAGGCCCCGUAAUCGGAAUGAGUACACUUUAAAUCCUUUAACGAGUAUCCAUUGGAGGGCAAGUCUGGUGCCAGCAGCCGCGGUAAUUCCAGCUCCAAUAGCGUAUAUUAAAGUUGUUGCGGUUAAAAAGCUCGUAGUCGGACUUGUGUCCCACGCUGCCGGUUCACCGCCCGUCGGUGUCUAACUGGCAUGCACGUGCGGACGUCCUGCCGGUGGCCCGAGCCGGCGCGGGUCUCGCACCCGUCGUCCGGGGAAGGCCUAUCAUACCCGUCGCGGUGCUCUUAACCGAGUGUCUCGAUGGGCCGGCACGUUUACUUUGAACAAAUUAGAGUGCUUAAAGCAGGCAGCAUCCGCCUGAAUACCGAGUGCAUGGAAUAAUGGAAUAGGACCUCGGUUCUAUUUUGUUGGUUUUCGGAAUCCCCGAGGUAAUGAUCAAUAGGGACAGACGGGGGCAUUCGUAUUGCGACGUUGAGGUAAAUUCUUGGAUCGUCCAGGACGGACCGAAGCGAAAGCAUUUGCCAAGAAUGUUUUCUCUGAUCAAGAACGAAAGUUAGAGGGUCSAAGGCKAUCAGAUACCGCCCUAAUUCUAACCAUAAACAAUGCCAGCCAGCAAUCCGCCAAAUUUCCUCCGAUGACUCCGCGGGCGGCUUCCGGGAAACCAAGCCUUUUGGGUUCCGGGGGAAGUAUGGUUGCAAAGCUGA
rnacentral:rRNA from 1 species